rnacentral:rRNA from 1 species
GCGGCCACUGCUAUCAAGUUCCGACUAAGCCAUGCGAGUCAAGGUAUCGUAAGAUGCCGGCAAACUGCUCAGUAACACGUGGAUAAUCUAACCUUGAGUAAGGGAUAACUUCGGGAAACUGAAGGUAAUACCUUAUAAUUGCUUAAAACUGGAAUGUUUUUGCAAUAAAAGUUACGACGCUCAAGGAUGAGUCUGCGACCUAUCAGGUAGUAGGUGGUGUAAUGGACCACCUAGCCUCAGACGGGUACGGGCCCUGGGAGGGGUAGCCCGGAGAUGGACUCUGAGACAUAAGUCCAGGCCCUACGGGGCGCAGCAGGCGCGAACACUGUGCAAUGCGCGAAAGCGCGACACGGGGAGCUUGAGUGUCUUGGCAUAGCCAAGACUUUUCUCAUUCCUAAAAAGCAUGAGGAAUAAGUGCUGGGUAAGACGGGUGCCAGCCGCCGCGGUAACACCCGCAGCACGAGUAGUGGUCACUUUUAUUGAGCCUAAAGCGUUCGUAGCCGGUUUUGUAAAUCUUCAGAUAAAGCCUGAAGCUUAACUCCAGAAAGUCUGAAGAGACUGCAAGACUUGAGAUCGGGUGAGGUUAAACGUACUUUCAGGGUAGGGGUAAAAUCCUGUAAUCCCGGAAGGACGACCAGUGGCGAAAGCGUUUAACUAGAACGAAUCUGACGGUAAGGAACGAAGGCUAGGGUAGCAAACCGGAUUAGAUACCCGGGUAGUCCUAGCUGUAAACAUUGCCCAUUUGAUGUUGCUUUUCCGUUGAGGGAAGGCAGUGUCGGAGCGAAGGUGUUAAAUGGGCCGCUUGGGAAGUAUGGUCGCAAGACUGAAACUUAA